UACGGAGGAUCCGAGCGUUAUCCGGAUUUAUUGGGUUUAAAGGGUGCGCAGGCGGGAGAUUAAGUCGGCGGUGAAAUUUUGCAGCUCAACUGUAAAAGUGCCUUCGAAACUGGUUUCCUUGAGUGUAGAUGAAGUAGGCGGAAUUUGUGGUGUAGCGGUGAAAUGCAUAGAUAUCACGAGGAACUCCGAUUGCGCAGGCAGCUUACUAAACCAUAACUGACGCUCAGGUACGAAGGCGUGGGGAUCAAACAGGAUUAGAUACCCUGGUAGU
rnacentral:rRNA from 1 species